ensembl:lncRNA
UUUUUUUUUUUUUUGCUUUUUUUUUAGGGCCACACCCGCACCAUAUGGAAGUGCCCAGGGUGGGGUCAGUUGGAGCUACAGCUGCCAGCCUACACCAUAGCCACAGCAACAUGGGAUCCAGGCCGCAUCUGUGAUCUAUACCACAGCUCAGAGCAACACCAAAUCCUUAACUCACUGGGUAAGGACAAGGAUCGAACCCACAACCUCAUGGAUUCUAGUCGGAUUUGUUUCUGCUGUGUCGUAACAGGAACGCCCCAGAAUCUAUUUUAGAAGGAAGCAACCAAGAUCAAAGCAGCACUAGGCAUGAUGUGCCUUGUUUAUUUACCUGUUGGAACAGGCAAGGAAACAAAAAGGGACCUGUGCAUUUCUCGUGAUUUUCAAACAGGAGCUGGAUCUCUUGAAAUGGCCAAGGAGGAGAAGACAGUUUGAUUUAGAUUUGGCAUGGGUUUAGGGGAAGAUAUGCCUUUGUAGCUGGCCUUAAAUAUUAUGGCAACAUGGACUGAGUUAGUCUCCAAGGGAGAAGUUGCCACAUGUUGUAACAGAAGCCACUGGGCUUGGCAAGGAAGGGAAUGAAAGAACGACAAUGAAAGCAACGCCAUUUUCCCACCAUGGCAAAGAUGGGCUGACUGGGACCACGCCUGUCCCUCUUUUCCAGGGAAGAUCAAACCGGGCACUGCCCUUUCAAAUCAGUCUUCAACAUAUUCUAAACAAUACUGAAUUCUGAAAUUAAUUUUAAUUCCUAAUGGCUUCUUAAGGAGACCUUUUUCUUCCUCCUUACUAAAAACAUAAACAAUUCAAAAAAGAGAUUCAAAAAGAGGAACUACACCCCCCAAAUUCUGAGUCUGAGAAGGCUGAGAGGGUGCACUUUUCAAAUGUAUUUAUUAAUUUUAGAGCUCCAGCAAGCUGUUUUGAUGCAUGCUCCAUCUCUUACCAUUUAAAUUUUUAAAACAUUAGAUUCUUACCUAUAUCUAUCUUGCUAUUUUGACUGGUCAUUCCCAAACGUAAACUGCCCUACUUUGAAGCUUUCCAAAGCUAAGAAGUGAAGUCUGAAAUAAAGCAGGCUGUUAAUUGAGUUUUUACUGAAUGAAUCUGCAUUCUUGCAAGGCCUUGAGCUGGAUAUAAAUUCUUAGGCUUCUUCCAUUGACAGUAAUUCUUUUGGUCAUCAUCAUUAUAACUUAACUAUUUCUAAGAGGGAAAAAUAAGCUUGUAUAAAUUGUACUGAAUACAAUAUCUAGUUUCUACUUACGAGAAGCUCUCUGGGACUUGGGGCAAUGGUAGUCCCUAUCUCAAUGGGUAGUUCUAAGAAUUAAAAUCAUGAACAUCUGUAAAGCAACUAAGCUAGACCCGACCUAUAGAAAAUCAUCCAUAAAUGUGAGCAAUAAUUAUGCACGGCCAACCUAGUAACUUUAUUAUCCUGCUGAUGAGAAUAUGAGCGCCAAAGAGCAAGGGAGCAACUGAACCAUGCCUGGGCAAACAGCGUUCUCUCCUUGCUCUCUUAUUCGCUCUCUCCAUCACAGUGGGAGCACCACAUCCCUUCUACAAUUCACUUUCUUGUCCACACAACAAGCAAUAUACAUCUACACCAAGAAUGCCUAGAGAGGCCGGAUGCAGUUUUUGGCUAAUAUCAGCAGCAGCAGGACAAUUCACAACAUCUGUAUCUUCCUGUCUAUAUGAGUCAGGGUUUUCCAGAGAAAGACAGCGAAUAAGAUGUGGUAUGUGUGAGUGUGCAGAGAGAAAGACAAAGGCAGAGACAGACUGGCAGGUUGAAUUUCAAGGAAUUGACUUAGGUGACUAUGGGGCAGGCUAGUGACCCAGGAAAAGAUGACACUGUGGUCUCCAGACAGAAGGCCAUCUGGAGGCAGAAUUCCUUCUUCCUGGGGGGACAACAAUCUUUUUUUCUGAAGGACAUCAACAGAUUGGAUGAGGCCCACAUACACUAUGGAGAAUAAUUUGUUUUACUCAACAUCUACUGAUUUAAAUUUAAUCUCAGUUAAAAACACCUUCACAGGUAUUUUUAGACUUUUUAGACUGGUGUUUCACCAAAUAUCUAGGUACUGUGCUCUAGCUAAGGUGACACAGAAAAUUAGCCAUCACUCUCCUUUCCGAAUAGAUGGUGCUCAGUUUUCCUUUGCUGCAGGAAAAACCUCUCAAAAUGUACAGCAACUUCACUUUCUGAGAUCAGGUUAAAGGCAAGAAAUUCAGGAGUUCCCAUCGUGGCUCAGUGGUUAAUGAACCUGACCAGCAUCCAUAAGGACUCAGGUUCAAUCCCUGGCCUUGCUCAGAGGGUUAAGGAUGCGGCGUUGCCUGAGCUGUGGUGUAGGUUGCAGACAUGGCUUGGAUCCUGUGUUGCUAUGGCUGUGGCAUAGCCUGGCGUCUUCAGCUCUGAUUCAACCCCUAGCCUGGGAACCUCCAUAUGCCACAGGUGCAGUCCUAAAAAAAAAAGACCAUGCAUUUCUUAAGAGGUGAGUUCUAUGUCUGAAGGAUGCCUUUCAAGCAGAUGCAGAAGAUGACAUCUGAACAGUAGGGAGAGUCAGGGGAAUACAUACCAGUCCACAGAAGGGACAGCUUCUAGAACAAAGACUGCAAACUUAUUAGGGCCAGACGAAUAAAACAAAUGAGUGAACCAAGCCGGGUGGGGUUAUGCACAGCCCCUGUACAACCGCUCAGCGGCCUCUGGCCACGGAAGGCUCCGAGUCUUUCUGCAACAGCCCCAGCACACAGCACGGCCCAGUGGGAGGACCACUGACUUUAAAGUCAGGUGGAAGGAGCCCUGUGUCCCAGUUCCACUGCACAUUAUCAGCAUGACCUGAAAUAAGUUACUUAAAACCCUUUGGGCCUCUGAGUUGUUUUGUGUGUGUGUGUGUGUGUGUGACCUGAGAUCGCUGUUGCUGACACUAUAUAAUUAUUGUGAAUACUCAGGGAAAAGUGCCUAAAAUGUGAUGGUUGAUAUACAUGUUUCCUACUUUGCUUUUAUUACCAUUUACAUAGCACUUAACUGUGUGCAAGACACAGCUCUUCAACUCAUUUAUUCCUCACAACAACCCUAGGAGGUAGCUUCUCAGUUUACAAAUGAAGCACAGAAAGGGUAAAUAAUUUGACCAGGGACACACAGCAGGCAACUAAAAGACUGUCAAAAACUCAAAAACAGGAGGAUUCAUUCUUAGAUGCUACAGGAGAUUCUAUCCCUCAAACUACCAUAAGCCUCUUUGUCUUUUCUUUCAACCUAAAUGUGCUGCAAGUACAUAGGGUACCUUCUGACUCCCACUCCCACUACUGACUCCCAUGCCGUGGGCUCCCCGCUGCUGUCACCCCACAGGUGCUCCCUCAAAGGCACUCCAGACUCGGGGCUCAGUGUUGUAGGGUGGCUCAUGGUCCCCUCUCCUCAACCCUGCGUUAACACCUUCUCUGCCGGGCACCAACCUCCGAGGGCUGCCUAGGCCUCUGAAAUUCCCUGUUCUCUUUGAAAGCCCCUCCAUGGUCUCCCUCUCAGAGGUAAGUCCCAGGUCCCAGCCCCUCCCUCCCCUGUGCUCCUGCUCCUCUUCCCUCUCAGAUGCUAGGCACCAAGUCCCUGCAAAGCGUGUUUUCAAUGCACACCUCAGGGCCCAAGCUCCACACCUCGUCCCUGGGCCGGCACCCACCUACACACGGACCCUCUCUGCUGCCACAGGAAAGCCCACCCAGCUCGGGGCUGUGAGCGCCUUAACUUUCCCGUCUCCCAGGGCCAGCCCUCCCCCGACCUGAGCGGCCCACUCAAUGACCCAGUUCUUUUCUCAUCAUCUGAACUGCUUCGCUUCUGAAAGGGUAAGCUCUGACAGCCCUCCUCUGACCACACCCUCUUAGCCUUCAGCUCCCUUUACUGACUACUCAGGAAACCAACUGGUUACUCAGGAUAACCAAAGCUACUAAUCCUAAACCCCAAAUCUGACCUUUCCACUGUGUGCCCUCGGAAAGUUCCAGCAACAAGCCAGCUGUCCAGCCAGAAGCUUACACGUUACCUUUUACUCCUCCCCCUCCUCGUCCAUAGCCAACGAACCCCAAUCUGCCACACGCCUCCCAUCCUUCAACACCUACCCGAGUCUCUCCUGCUAUCCGAUCACCAUCGCUUCUCAUCCAGAAUCCUCUGUCCAAUGGUGUCCUGACCAGCAUUUCGCUUCCAGGACCUGCUUCCCUGAAAUCUAUUCUUCCGCAGACAGAAUGGUCCUUCUAAAACAUGGUCUAAUCACAUCACUCCAAUACUUAACAUCACGAAUACUGCCCUUCAGAAGAGGACAGGAUGCCCUAAUGCAGCUUCAGGGGCACUUCUUGAUCGAGCGGCUGCCCACCGCUCCUGCCUUCUCGCCUGUUUCCUCCGUUCCCGCUGCACACAGCUGCCAGGUCUUCAGAGGCCCCGGGUCUCCCUCUUGCCUUUGGGGCUUGGUACACUCCAGUCCCCUUGCCCAUAACAUGCCUUUUUCUCAUGCUUCACCUGGGCUUUCCUCACGCGAGAGUCAUGGUAAAUAUUACAACUUCCUUAAGAGGCCACCCUGGUCCCCAGACUUGGUCAGGCCCCCGGGUUGGUGUUCCUGUAGCAAACCUGCACGCCCCAUGACAGUCACCCCACAGAGUGGCGUCCCCCUCACCAGCCUGUGGUUCCGUGAAGCAAGCCCGGGGCUCUCUCGUGCAGCGCCACGCGCCCGGCCACGCGGGGCUGGUCCGGACGGACCCUCGGCGAGUACGUGUCGAAUAAACGAGCACGUGGUUGAGUCUCAAUCCCUUGUCCCCCACCUCCUGACUCUGGGCUCGAGGUUCAGCUCCACGUUCUUCAGGUGCCUGAUGGACCCCUCACCAAGACCUAACUAAACACGUGCACAGUGGACAGAGCUCAUCGUCCCUCUCACAUUCGUGCUCUUUAAAAUCUCCUACAGCAGAAAGAACACAGAUGCGGACAUCAGGGAGGCCUGGGAUGUGCUGCUCGACGCCCAUCAGCUGUGUCCUAAUUUCAGACAAAUCUUUCUUUGAGCCUUCGUUUCCUCAUCUCUGAAGUAAGGACAAAAUUACCAGCCUCACAGGAUUAGGAUAAGACCGCACGAGAUAACGUCGGGAAAUGCCUGCAAAUGGCGCGGAAGUAACAAAUGGCACCUGAGUGGAAAGAUGUGGAGGAAUGUUGCUUCCUUCCUCCUGCCCAUCGGCCGCCCCCUCUCCUCCAGGCGGUCUGCUCCAUUCCAGUCGCCCCCUCACGCAGGCCCUCUGCUCCUGCUUCCUAGACCCUCUCACGACAGCUCCACUGGCCUUCCCCGGCUCUGGUUUUCUCACUGCCCAGGCCACCCCGCACGCUGACACCAGAUGAUGCUACUGUCACCCCCCGACUGAAAUUCUUCAACGGCUCUCGUGACGCGGUGUUCAGUUUAUAUCCUUUAGUCAGAAGCCUUGCAGCCCUCCUGGGUCUGGCCUCAGCAGACCUUUGCUGCUUCUCUUCCCGUUAGUCACGUCUACACACACUGUUGCCCAGCAACCAGAAAUUAGUCACCGUCACUCUGUUCACGGGUACUUCCCAUCCCUUUCCCUGCCUCUGCUCACAUUUCCUCAGACUCAGACCCUCCACUCUUCUUUCAACGUCUGGCCAAAGCUUCCUCAAUCCAGGAAGCAUUUCCUGAUUGCCCAGCCAGAGAAAAUCUUGCACUUCCACAAAUGUGUGGUGUGUUUAUAUACAUUUUAUCUCUCUUCUCUGUGUUCAUCCUGAUGCGACAUGUGUACGGAACCUUAGCUCCAAGCGUCAUGUCCAGGCCCACCCACACUGUCAUGCUCAAGAAAGGCACCCAGCUCAUCGUGCAGACCUACAGGAUCUUACCAAGGAGGCACCAGCAUCCAGAGUCUGUAGUCAACAGGCUUAGCUUCUUCUCAGCUCCCAGAACAGAGCCUGACACAGAGCAACACUCCACACUAACGUUAAAUACACAGGGACAUCAACCAUUGGCUACGGGACAGAAAUUCUGUCCCUGUGGAAUGAAACACAAAAGACGUGAGGAAGCCUCUUCUCUGCCACCAUACGCUUAGGAGGCAGGCACCUCCAAGUUCACGGUCGUCCCCCCGCCCCAAACACACACUGCUCCGCUGCAGCUAGACAGGUACUCUCUCAACAAUCCAUAGGCGUGUAAUGCUUUGCCAUGUUCAGUAUGUCAAAGGUACUCAAUUUUAACACGUAAGUAAGAAUAACUCCUUAAAACAGUCGCCUUUGGGGAGUUCCCUUCGUGGCUCAGCGGUUAAUGAACCCAACUAUGACCCGUGAGGUUGCAGGUUCGAUCCCUGGCCCUGUUCAGUGGGUUAAGGAUCCGGCGUUGCUGUGAGCUGUGGUGUAGGUUGCAGACGAGGCUUGGAUCUGGCGUUGCUGUGGCUGUGGUGUAGGCCUGCGGCUACAGCUCUGAUUCAACCCCUAGCCUGGGAACUUCUAUAUGCCACAAGUGUGGCCCUAAAAAGCAAAAAAAAUAAAAAAUAAAAAUAAAUUAAGUAAUUAAUUUAAAAAACUCGUCUCCUUUGGAGGCCAUGGAGUUACUUUAACAUGCCCGAAAUCUUUUUAUAGACCUCACCUUCUACAGUCACAACUUCUUUUGGUUAAUGACAAUAAUAAUAAUAAAAAGAUGUAUUACAGAAUGAAAGCCUCUUCUCAUAAGGCUCUCAACCAGCUGAGAAUUACAAUAAUUUUAGAAAUAAAUUCCAAUCUCCUCGUCCUUAAAAUAGAAGAUUUUUUCCAGGGCUUUCGUUUCCAAAGUUCUAUUACAUAAGCCAUUUCAUAAAUCAUGUACAUAACAACUCAUUUUUCCUUCAAAUUUUAUUUUAGCCUCCCUCCUCUGCCAUGUGUAUCUCUGUGACAGUACUCCUCCGUCUGUGGUGUUACCUCUCUAUAUGUCAUUUAUCCCACUAAACUGCCUUCCUGAAGGGCCAGGCAACUGACAUACCCAUUCUGAAUCUGCAGUUCUGACUGCUGGAAUGCAGUCUGUGGCUUAGUAAAUGUUUACAUGAUUCAAUGACUGAAAUCAGUUAUUGGAUCAUAAACCUUUUCAUCAGCGCUAAGUACUGGCUCCUUGCUACCCUCCAAGGCCAGAGAAUUCUCACUGCUGUGGCUAAUAAAAAAAGGAUGGAAGGCUCUUAAGACCAUGGCAAACAAAAAGCUCUAAAUGAGUCCUUGGCAAAGAGAGCAUCACCACAGUAGAAGUUUAAAUUCUUCCCAGCUAACGCAGUACUUCAAGGAGGCAGCAUCCAUUUGCACGUCUAUGUGUCUGCCUUUUGCUAUGAGUUAAAAUAUUAAUUACAUUGCUUUAGAGUCACAUCUUAUAUAUGAGCUUUAUUUAAUUUGUUUAUUUAGUCCCCUUGAAAUAAAUCCU